rnacentral:lncRNA from 1 species
CUUGCCUUGACCAGCCCCCUCCGGCCGGGGACCGAGCUCGGAGAGAGAGCUGCUGGCCCUUGUGCCUUUCUGGCUCCUCGCGCUCUCUGCUGGGGCUAGCGGUGGGCAGUGGGCGGCGAGGUUGUGCGUGCCAAGAGAGGAGGGGCUGCUCUCUCAGCUUCAGGCAUCUUCCAUCCUGCCCUCCCCACCCGCCCCCGCCAUUUCUUUGCGUGAGCAGAUGUGUCCUUCCUCCACAGAAAUGCCCUGUCAUAAAGUUAGUGGCAGAAUCCACAUGGAUUAUAAUAGAAUCAAGGGGUUGGAAUGUGCCUUCCACACACAGGCAGAGAUGAUCUGCUCGAAUUUCGUCAGAAGGAGUUUAGUUUACAAAGAUAGUAACUGAGCUAUUAAAACCAACAACCCCUUUUAAAGCAAACAGACCAUUAAAAUAUAGGAACAGUUUAUGGCAUAAAUAAAAUGGAGGAUAUAGAUUAUUUAAAGAUAAGAUUUUCAAGAAACAGGGAUAAAAAAACAUUUAAAUAAUUUCACCACGAUAUUUUUUUUUUUACAAAGUGAACUUCAAAAUGCAAAUGCAAAUUAAAAAAAAAAAAAGCACAGAAAGACAUUAAAAAUCCAUCUUCUUAGUAAAGGCGUACAAAAAAGGCUUGACUUUUCCUUCUAGAUCUGUAGACGAUUUCAGAGGGGCGGGGUGCAGGGAACUACUUGAAUUCAUAAAUGGCAGGAUUUACCCAGCUUGGGAAGCCACAUUGUAGAAAAAGAAGCAAGACAUUUGCUUCUAGAUCAUUCUCUCGAGCAAGCUGACAGAUACAAUAAUUUCGUCCAUUAGUCCGAUCCAUUGUCUUCCUUCGGCACAGAAGUACUGUACCGCGGAGGUAGAUUUCCACUGCUAUGCGUAUUUUAAGGGUUAUUUGGCAACACGAGUAAAGCUAAAAGUAGCCUCUUAAUCUAAUUAAUUGACAUUUCUGAAUCUUGCUUUCACAACAACACAUGGUUUCAUGUUCUGGGUUUUAGCACUU